GGGCCUCAACCCUGGCCUUAGCUUCAGACACAGAACCAUGAAACUGGUAUUGGUUGGUAGUACUGGUGCCAGUUUCACUUCAUAGAACGAUUCCGGCCAUUCGUACUUCCUGUCCUAAGUAGCAGAUACGGUUUCAUGAAGGACCGGCUAACUAGCCAUAUUGAACUGUGGAGUGAGCCUGUGGGUGAGCUCCCCUCCCGCUAGCCUCCUCCUCACUCUCCCCUCUGUGUGCCCUGCUGCAUCCUGCCUAGAUGCAAGAGCAGCUCACCCGCCGCCGGAGGCUUCCACCUUGGCUCCCAGGGGGACAUCCUGCAAAAUGAAUCAGCAGCCAUCCUGAGCAGGCUGAUUAAAAUGAAAAUGGCAAGGCACAUGUCUGGGCGGAACUGGAGCUCGGCUUUGUUGCCUGUCUGACAAGCACGCUCAAUAUAGCUCUUGCUAAUAAUGGCUUACUGCCUUUCGGUUUUUAAAAAGCCCAAAGCUAGAAGCAGCCCAGGUGAAGCCUGCUCCUGCUUGAAGCUUUUCUACCAGACUGUCUCCAUUCUCCGGAUCUCAUGCAGCAUACAGUCUGAACAUGGGAAAAUAGAAGCCACUGAAUGCUGCAGUUGGACAAAGUUUAUUGCAAAUAAAUCUCAUUUCUUUUCAAAAA
rnacentral:lncRNA from 1 species